rnacentral:rRNA from 1 species
UGGGGAAUAUUGGACAAUGGGGGCAACCCUGAUCCAGCGAUGCCGCGUGUGUGAAGAAGGCCUGCGGGUUGUAAAGCACUUUAGUUGGGGAGGAAAGGUAUGUACUGCAUAAGUGCAUGCUGUGACGUUACCCAAAGAAUAAGCACCGGCAAACUCUGUGCCAGCAGCCGCGGUAAUACAGAGGGUGCAAGCGUUAAUCGGAAUUACUGGGCGUAAAGCGCACGUAGGCGGUUUUUAAGUCAGAUGUGAAAGCCCCGGGCUCAACCUGGGAAUUGCAUUUGAAACUGGAAAACUAGAGUGUGUGAGAGGGGGGUAGAAUUCCAAGUGUAGCGGUGAAAUGCGUAGAGAUUUGGAGGAAUACCAGUGGCGAAGGCGGCCCCCUGGCACAACACUGACGCUCAGGUGCGAAAGCGUGGGGAGCAAACAGGAUUAGAUACCCUUGUAGUCCCUGAGCGGGCUGGCAAGGCGCAU